UCCCUGGUGGCCUAGUGGUUAGGAUUCAGCACUUUCACUGCUGUGGCCUAGGUUCAAUCCCUGAUCUGAGAA
rnacentral:tRNA from 1 species